UGGCUCCGUUACAACAAAGAUACCACACCACACAAUUUCGACGCAAAAAGGACCAAAAUAAAUGCUUUGCUUCCCGAAAAGGCGCAAGGCAUCCCCCCUGGGACUGACAGAGGUGGUACCGGCAUGGGGGGGGGGAGAAACCGCUCUCUGUCACGUGACCUACCCUCCCGGAUUGGGCGGCUCCAGACUGGGCAGUGGAGCUUGACGUCCCAGUUCUAGGUUCGGCACGCCCCUGCUCCGGUGAGACCACGCCCCUCCACGGGCUGGGACCUUGCCCGAGAGAUACCGACCCGCGCGCGACAGGGUCGGCGGCCCUGACGGGGCAGAGGGAGACAGCUGCUCUUCUGAAAGUCGCCGAGGAAUGGUGCGGGCCCCUGAACCUGGGAAUGGUGAGAAGAGUCGUGCUCGGCAAGUUCCUCAGCGUUGCCCACUGGGCUUUUGUAGAAGUCUACCGGAGUGCGUGACACUGUAACAACAACUCAUAUUUAUUGAGUUCCAUACUUAUUUAAUCCCCACGACAGUGCUGUGAAUUUCAGUACUAGCAUUGUCCCCAUUUUAUAGUAGUGGAAACAGGUUCCUAGGACUGCAGAGUUGAGAUACGAACCGAGGCAGCUUUAGCGACUUUAGUGUGCGGUAAUAUCUAUACUAGCCUCUUGAGGAACGCUCCCGUGGACCAUCCUUGUAAAGGAAUGAGAAUGUAAGCAUAGGCCUUAGUUUCCACAUCUGUAAAAUGAGUGUUGACUGCUGCCUGCCCUGUGAGUCACGUUGGAUUGUUAAGAGAUUCUGAUAGAUUGUGAAAAUGCUUUGGAAGGUUCAAGUCAAUGAAUAGUCUUCACUGAGUCCUCAUCCAAUUUAAAAGUGAAAGUAUCAAAACGGACAACUUUUUGUAGCCUCCGUUAAAGGUAUUACAAGAAGCUUUCAAAGCGCAAUAAUUUUUUUUAAGAAAAUAAGAAACUGAAGUCACAUUCUUCCUUAUGCACAAAUGCCAUUUACGUGCACUUACCAAUUCAAUGACAUAUUAGCAGUAGAUGAUAGAUGUCAAUUAGGCAUUAGAAUUUGGAAGGGACCUUACGGAUAAUUUAUUUCAAUUUCCUGUCAAUCUACAGAUGGGCAAAGUGACUUCCCAAAAGUCACUUAGAAAACUGGCAGCCUAGGACUAGAACCCAACUUUAUUAAUCUCUGUAGGGCAUCUGACAUUGCUUCCUCUCACUUUUGGCUUCACUUUUCCUCUCACUUUUGGCUAAUAUGCUUCUUCGUUUUAAUUCAUUUGACAAACAUUCACUUAGUCUCAGUGAUGUGCAAGGCACCGUCCUAGGCACCGAGGAUACAGCCAUGAACACGUGCAUUCUUCCUCUUCCUGAAGGGAGGUUACAAUCUACAGAGGAGACAGGUGGUAGAUGAUCAUUGAAAUAACAAUUAGCGCUGGUGGCUUGGAAGUGCCAUUUACUAAGAGCAGAACAUUUGGAAGGGGACACAUUUGGGGAGGAAGAUCAAAAGUUUUAAGUUGAGACAUGUUAGGUUUAUAGUCCCUAGGAGAAGUGCAAUGAAGAAUAUUAAGAAUGUGGCCAUCAAAGCAGGCCCAAAAGAGUAUGAGUUGGAAUAGAGCCUUGAGAAUGAGUGGCAUUUUAGAGCAGAUGAAGUCAUAAAGAGGUUCAGGGAAAAGGCAAGAUGGCCGAAGACCAAGCCCUGAGGAACUCCAACAUUAGAGGUCAGGCAGAGGAGAACAAGCUGCCAAAGGAGAAGCCAGAGAGCUAACAGGAAAAUCAGGAGAAUGUGGAAUUCUGGAACCCAAAAGAAAAGAAUGUUCCAAAAAGGGAAUGGCAAACUGUGUUGAAUGCUGCAGAGGGAUGAAGCAAGACUGGACUGGGAAGUGUGCAUGAGAUUAAGUAAUGUGGAGGCCAUUGGUGACUUUGUCAAGAGCACUUGCAGUGGGCUGAGGGUGAUUUCAUUCAGGCUUGAGUAUGGCAGAACCUUGCUCUGAAGCCUGAGAAUGGACAACUCUCCAGGACUAUGGUGCCCUCUCCUCUACCCGGUUUAAAAAAGUAAGGGAGCAGGGGCCCCAUCAGUCACUCUGCGGCAUCCUGGUCUCCAGAUAGACAAGGUUUCCAUCCCUUUUGUACGCGUGCUCUCUACCUGGCUAUCCCUUAGGGUCAGUCUCAAAGUCCUUGCUCUCUCCUCCCUAAUCUUAAUGUUGCGGUGUCUACCCCUUUAAAGCAGCAGCCCCCGGUCAGGUUAUUGUCUAGCCUUGCAGCCAAUCGGCGGCGCCAUUGGGGGCGGGGGAUCCGGCCUCCUGAUUGGCCACCGCGCACCCCGCCCCGCCCGGGAUCCCGGGAGCUGUCCGGCCGCCUCGGUGCUGAUCCCGCCGCCGCCCACGGGCCGUGAGCAGCGCGGAGAGGGCAUUAUGAGCGGGGGCGUCUACGGCGGAGAUGAGGUGGGGGCGCUCGUCUUUGACAUUGGCUCCUUCUCAGUCCGCGCUGGAUACGCUGGGGAGGACUGCCCCAAGGCUGACUUCCCCACCACAGUGGGGCUGCUGGCCGCGGAGGAGGGGGGUGGGCUGGAGUUGGAGGGGGAGAAAGAGAAGAAAGGGAAGAUCUUCCACAUCGACACCAACGCCCUGCAUGUGCCUCGGGAUGGAGCGGAGGUCAUGUCGCCCCUCAAGAAUGGCAUGAUUGAGGACUGGGAAUGCUUCCGUGCCAUCCUGGAUCACACCUACAGUAAACACGUGAAGUCCGAGCCCAACCUGCACCCAGUGCUCAUGUCAGAGGCCCCGUGGAACACACGGGCCAAGCGGGAGAAGCUGACAGAGCUGAUGUUCGAGCAGUACAACAUUCCUGCCUUCUUCUUAUGCAAGACGGCUGUGCUCACCGCCUUUGCAAAUGGACGUUCCACAGGCCUGGUGCUGGACAGUGGGGCCACCCACACCACAGCCAUUCCAGUACAUGAUGGCUACGUCCUGCAGCAAGGCAUUGUCAAGUCACCCCUGGCAGGGGACUUCAUCUCCAUGCAGUGCCGGGAACUCUUCCAAGAAAUGGCCAUUGACAUCAUCCCGCCUUACAUGAUUGCAGCUAAGGAACCCGUACGGGAGGGUGCCCCUCCAAACUGGAAGAAGAAGGAGAAGCUACCCCAGGUUUCCAAGUCCUGGCAUAACUACAUGUGCAAUGAGGUGAUUCAGGACUUCCAGGCCUCUGUGCUGCAGGUCUCAGACUCGCCCUACGAUGAGCAGGUGGCUGCGCAGAUGCCCACAGUGCACUACGAGAUGCCCAACGGCUACAACACAGACUACGGCGCCGAGCGGCUCCGCAUUCCCGAGGGCCUGUUUGAUCCUUCCAAUGUCAAGGGCCUGUCGGGGAACACCAUGCUCGGUGUGGGCCACGUGGUGACCACCAGCAUCGGCAUGUGUGACAUCGACAUCCGCCCGGGCUUGUAUGGCAGUGUCAUUGUCACCGGCGGGAACACGCUGCUCCAGGGCUUCACAGACAGGCUCAAUCGAGAGCUUUCCCAGAAGACCCCGCCGCCCCUCUUUCCCCCCAGAGCAUGCGGCUGAAGCUCAUCGCCAGCAACAGCACCAUGGAGCGCAAGUUCAGCCCCUGGAUCGGGGGCUCCAUCUUGGCCUCACUGGGCACUUUCCAGCAGAUGUGGAUCUCCAAGCAGGAAUAUGAGGAGGGAGGGAAGCAGUGCGUGGAGCGGAAGUGCCCCUGAGGGCGCCCCCUCAACACCCACACGCCAGCCAGCCGCGGUGGGGUAGGGGACGCCGAAGGCGGGGAGAGGGUUUCCCCGUUCGGCCUCCGCCAGCGCAGAUCGAAGCCUCCACCCCAUGCCCUCGUCUCUGCCCCUCCCCUCCCGUCCGCUUAGAUUGUGAGGUUUCUGGGUUGAAAGGAGUAAAAAUGUUUUAAGAAAAAAAAGUUUGGCCUCCUUGCGGCGGGGGCGGCGGGCGGGAGUGGGGACAGAGGCCCUGGGGGGAGGCGAGGGAAGGCCCACACCUACGUCCCUUGGUGACCCCACGGUGGACGCCGGGGCAAAGUCUGCGAGCCGGGGCAGAGCCCUAGGAGCCACA